UACGUAGGGGGCUAGCGUUGUCCGGAAUCAUUGGGCGUAAAGCGCGUGUAGGCGGCUCGAUAAGUCCGCUCUGAAAGCCCGGGGCUCAACCCCGGGAGGCGGGUGGAUACUGUCGAGCUCGAGUCCGGAAGAGGCAAGUGGAAUUCCUGGUGUAGCGGUGAAAUGCGCAGAUAUCAGGAGGAACACCAAUGGCGAAGGCAGCUCACUGGGACGGUAUUGACGCUGAGACGCGAAAGCGUGGGGAGCAAACAGG
rnacentral:rRNA from 1 species